AUGUGAAAUGUCUGAUGUCUGGGCAAAUCUAACAUGACAAGUUAAAGGGCUCCCUUAAAACUUCAAAACUGCAUUUGUGAAAAUGA